rnacentral:ncRNA from 1 species
UUAUCGUGAUGCCUGGGAUUUAAUUUCGCAAUGGGCUGCGCAUAAGGAAACUGAUGCGCGAACUUCUGUCAAAUUCGGGGAAGCCAGUAAUGAGGUAAUCCCGAGCCAAGCUGUGCUAGUUUAAACAUCAGCACAGAAGGUGUAGAGACUUAAUGGCAGACACCCUAACAGCGGCGUAAGUCGUAUGAGGGUGAAGAGAAAGUCCAGACCACAAAUCUUAAGUUAAA